GACUCUUAGCGGUGGAUCACUUGGCUCAUGUGUUGAUGAAGAGCGCACCUAAAUGCAAGAAUUAAUGUGAAUUGCAGGACACAUUGAUCAUCCACACUUCGAAUGCACUUGCAGCCCCAGGUUCCUCCUGGGGGGCUACACCUGUCUCAGUGUAG
ensembl:rRNA 5_8S_rRNA 5.8S ribosomal RNA